AGGAGGGGCGCGCAGCGCCAGGGUGCUACGCUGCGGCCCAGUCGGGACUGCAAGACCCACUGGACUCGCCGCCCGUGCGCUCCCGCGCUCCAGCCUAGCCCCCGAGGAUGCGCUGUCCUGUUCCCGCCGCCUGCUGCACCUCCCCGCCCCAUGGCUUCACCGGAGGACCCUCUGCUCACAGGGGUGCCUGGAUGACUCAGUUGUUUAAGCAGAUGUUUGCCUUUGGCUGAGGUCAUGAUUCCAAUGUACAGGGAUCCAGCCCUGUAUGGGACUACUUGCACCCAAGGAGCUUGCUUCUUCCUCUCCCUUUGCACGUGAUUCCCCCUGCUUGUGUGCUUCAUCUUCUCUAUGUCUCUCUCUCUCUCUCUUGCU